rnacentral:rRNA from 1 species
UACGUAGGGGGCAAGCGUUAUCCGGAAUUACUGGGUGUAAAGGGAGCGUAGACGGUAAUGUAAGUCUGGAGUGAAAGGCGGGGGCCCAACCCCCGGACUGCUCUGGAAACUAUGUUACUAGAGUGCAGGAGAGGUAAGCGGAAUCCUAGUGUAGCGGUGAAAUGCGUAGAUAUUAGGAGGAACACCAGUGGCGAAGGCGGCUUACUGGACUGUAACUGACGUUGAGGCUCGAAAGCGUGGGGAGCAAACAGG